rnacentral:rRNA from 1 species
AUAAACGCUGGCGGCGUGCCUAAUACAUGCCGGUCGAGCGAACAGACGAGGAGCUUGCUCCUCUGAUGUUAGCGGCGGACGGGUGAGUAACACGUGGAUAACCUACCUAUAAGACUGGGAUAACUUCGGGAAACCGGAGCUAAUACCGGAUAACAUGUUGAACCGCAUGGUUCAACAGUGAAAGACGGUCUUGCUGUCACUUAUAGAUGGAUCCGCGCCGCAUUAGCUAGUUGGUAAGGUAACGGCUUACCAAGGCAACGAUGCGUAGCCGACCUGAGAGGGUGAUCGGCCACACUGGAACUGAGACACGGUCCAGACUCCUACGGGAGGCAGCAGUAGGGAAUCUUCCGCAAUGGGCGAAAGCCUGACGGAGCAACGCCGCGUGAGUGAAGAAGGUCUUCGGAUCGUAAAACUCUGUUAUUAGGGAAGAACAAAUGUGUAAGUAACUAUGCACGUCUUGACGGUACCUAAUCAGAAAGCCACGGCUAACUACGUG